AGAGUGCGUAAUAGCUCACUAGUCAAGUGAAUCUGCGCCGAUAAUGGUCGGGACUCAAGCACACCGCCGAAGCUAUGGAUGGGACACCUCUUCGGAGGUGAAACAUGGUAGGGGAGCGUUCCCUGAGCGGAGAAGCCGGCCCGUGAGGGUACCGGUGGAGCGCAGGGAAGAGAGUAUGCCGGAAUGAGUACGCGAUAAUGGGGGGGAGGAUCCCCCACACCGAAAGCCUAAGGGUUCCGGAGCCAGGUUCAUCCGCUCCGGGUCAGUCGGUCCCUAAGCCGAGGCCGAAGGGCGUAGGCGAUGGGAAACAGGUCAACAUUCCUGUACCACAGUGUAUGCGUUCGACCCUGAGGGGGGACGCGGGAGCGUAGGAACCGUCGGGUGGUGGACUAUCCGAUGCAAGGUGGUAGGCGUAUCCAGCAGGCAAAUCCGCUGGACUUAGCCGAGCGCCGAUGCCGAAGGGGCCUUCGGGCCCCGCCAAGGGUUCUCAAGCCGACCGCCGAGAAAAGCCUCGCAGGGGAGUGUGCACUGUGACCGUACCGUAAACGGACACACGUAGGCGAGGCGAGAAGCCUAAGGUGCUCGAGUGAUCCACGG
rnacentral:rRNA from 1 species